rnacentral:tRNA from 1 species
GUUGGCGUAGCUUAAACUAAAGCAUAACACUGAAGAUGUUAAGAUGGGCCGUAGGAAGCCCCGCGAGCA